GGAUGAACGCUGGCGGCGUGCCUAAUACAUGCAAGUCGAGCGAACAGACGAGGAGCUUGCUCCUCUGACGUUAGCGGCGGACGGGUGAGUAACACGUGGAUAACCUACCUAUAAGACUGGGAUAACUUCGGGAAACCGGAGCUAAUACCGGAUAACAUGUUGAACCGCAUGGUUUAACAGUGAAAGACGGUCUUGCUGUCACUUAUAGAUGGAUCCGCGCCGCAUUAGCUAGUUGGUAAGGUAACGGCUUACCAAGGCAACGAUGCGUAGCCGACCUGAGAGGGUGAUCGGCCACACUGGAACUGAGACACGGUCCAGACUCCUACGGGAGGCAGCAGUAGGGAAUCUUCCGCAAAGGGCGAAAGCCUGACGGAGCAACGCCGCGUGAGUGAAGAAGGUCUUCGGAUCGUAAAACUCUGUUAUUAGGGAAGAACAAAUGUGUAAGUAACUAUGCACGUCUUGACGGUACCUAAUCAGAAAGCCACGGCUAACUACGUG
rnacentral:rRNA from 1 species